rnacentral:ncRNA from 1 species
UAUAAAGAAAGCGCCGGGACCGUACAUAUGGCAUAGCGGUUGACGAGGAUGGGGAGCAUCGAAAUAUUCGGCGGAUGUCCCACGGCAGGCAUGUCGUAAACACGCGUUUAAACCCCGGGAGUAAUUCCGGAAACAGAGACG